CACAAACACUGCAUUCAUACACACACUGCACUCAUACACAAACACUGCAUUCAUACAAACACUGCACUCAUACACAAACACUGCAUUCAUACACAAACACUGCAUUCAUACACACACACUGCAUUCAUACACACACUGCACUCAUACACACACACUGCACUCAUACACACACACUGCAUUCAUACACACACACUGCACUCAUACACAAACACUGCACUCAUACACAAACACUGCAUUCAUACAGACACACUGCACUCAUACACAAACACUGCACUCAUACACAAACACUGCAUUCAUACACACACUGCAUUCAUACACACACUGCAUUCAUACACACACACUGCAUUCAUACACACACAC